rnacentral:rRNA from 1 species
GAGAUGUUCGGUUAAGUCCGCUAACGAGCGCAACCCUCGCUGUGUGUUACAAGUGUCACACGGAACUGCCGGUCAUAAACCGGAGGAAGGUGGGGAUGACGUCAAGUCAGCAUGGCCUUUAUAUCCUGGGCUACACACACGCUACAAUGGGAAGGGACAAUAGGGUUGCGAAGCCGCGAGGCGGAGCCAAUCCAGCAAAACUUCCCUCAGUUCAGAUUGCAGGCUGCAACCCGCCUGCAUGAAGUUGGAGUUGCUAGUAAACGCAGGUCAGCCAUACUGCGUUGAAUACGUUCCCGGGGCUU